rnacentral:rRNA from 1 species
ACCAGGGUAUGUAACGUUGAGCGAAGGGUAUGGAUGUGAUCUGUAUUCUGAUAGCGUUACGCGUGGUGCAUGGCCGUUCUUAACACGUGGGGUGACUUGUCUGGUUAAAUCCGAUAACGCGUGAGACCCUGGAAAUUGACGAUACUUGACAAGAGUAGGGAAGCUCGGGUCGAUAACAGGUCUGUGAUGCCCGUAGAUAUUCUGGGCGCCACGCGCACUACAGUGGGAGAGGAACGUGAAACGGAACUCUCUUGCGGUUGGGAUUGACGUUUGUAAAUACGUCAUGAACGCGGAAUUCCUAGUAAUUUGUUGUCAUUAACGACAGAUGAAUGAGUCCCUGUUCUUUGUACACACCGCCCGUCGUUAUCUAAGAUGAAUGUGCGGAUGAAGUUGGUUAGGCCAAAAGAAUCCGUGCGAUUAGAUUGGAUACAAGUCGUAACAAGGUUGCGGUAGGAGAACCUGCCGCAGGAUCAAUAAAAAGAUCAUUGGGUUUUUAUAAUGUGGGUAACACAUUGCGUUCGAAGGAUCGAUUGGUUUUGGUGACGAUGACGAUUGUUGCUGUAUGCGAUAAUGAGUGAUAACAGCCUUGUUUAACUCGUUAUCUAAUUAUAGAUGCCAUCUAUGAUUACCCCUUGGGACUUAAGCAUAUCAUUAAAGGGGAGGAAAAGGAAACAACUGUGAUUUUCGA